rnacentral:rRNA from 1 species
UGAGGAAUAUUGGUCAAUGGGCGGAAGCCUGAACCAGCCAAGUCGCGUGAGGGAAUAAGGCCCUACGGGUCGUAAACCUCUUUUGCCGGGGAGCAAGGGCCGGGACGCGUCCCGGCCCGGAGAGUACCCGGAGAAAAAGCAUCGGCUAACUCCGUGCCAGCAGCCGCGGUAAUACGGAGGAUGCGAGCGUUAUCCGGAUUUAUUGGGUUUAAAGGGUGCGUAGGCGGGCUUUUAAGUCAGCGGUAAAAAUUCGGGGCUCAACCCCGUCCGGCCGUUGAAACUGGGGGCCUUGAGUGGGCGAGAAGAAGGCGGAAUGCGUGGUGUAGCGGUGAAAUGCAUAGAUAUCACGCAGAACCCCGAUUGCGAAGGCAGCCUUCCGGCGCCCUACUGACGCUGAGGC